UAGUCAGAUUCGUUUCCACUGUGCCAUGAUGGGAACUCUGAAGCAGGAAAUAUUGAUUGCAGUUCUGACUUGGACAACCAAUUAUUUUGGAACUAAUGCCCCUGCUCAAUGAAUAAAUAGUCUGUGGUCCGGAGAAAUUAAGGGAGAUUUGGUCAAAGUUUCACAGUAGGGUGAGAGUCAGGAUCAAGAUUAUAAUCCAGAAAUACUGCUGCACACUCAGUGCUUUUUUACCCCCAGUAACCAGUUUUUCUUCCUUAGGUGAGGAUAAUUAGACCAACAGUUUAAUGACCUUGCCAUAUAACUGACUUCUCGUCGUGCAUUGGUGAAAAGGGCAAUGGAAUGGAAAUACAAUCUGUUACUGACUUAAUGGUUCUUAUCAGGCAGCAGCUGACACAUGCUCACUUGACACACAAAAUCAGAUAUUUGAACUAGUUGAAAGAAUGUGAACUGCAAAAUUGGCCAUCUGGUGCUGGUGUGG
rnacentral:lncRNA from 1 species